CACGUAGGGCGCGAGCGUUGUCCGGAAUUAUUGGGCGUAAAGAGCUCGUAGGCGGCCUGUUGCGUCCGCUGUGAAAGCCCGGGGCUUAACCCCGGGUCGGCAGUGGAUACGGGCAGGCUAGAGGUAGGUAGGGGAGAAUGGAAUUCCCGGUGUAGCGGUGAAAUGCGCAGAUAUCGGGAGGAACACCGGUGGCGAAGGCGACUCACUGGACACGUAUUGACGCUGAGGUGCGAAAGCGUGGGGAGCAAACAGG
rnacentral:rRNA from 1 species